GUUAAGCCAAAUUAAAGUAAGCCAAGAGCUAUCGAGCUACUGUGCACACAUGUUUAGAUAUAGCUGUUGCCUAAGUAUUCAAAGCUUCAUCUAAAUGAAUUUCCUUAAUGAUGUUCAGCUCUACAUGUAAUAUGAAGUAAGAGUUCAUUGCAAGCAACGUCGAGCUGAGCAUUUCAGCUGCUGCUCAAAACCCCCUCAGCUCAGCUUAUAGUUUUUUCAGAGCACCGCAAAUUCUGGCAUUCGGCUAUUAAAGCCACUAUUUGUCUGCCAACAUUUUGAUUGAUUUAUGAUGAGCCAGCGAGAGAUUUGAGAGAUUUCUGACUCUUGCUGACUGCUUCUGACUCUUUGACCACCCUGUCUGCCUGCGUUGGCGUCAUCCACAAAAAGAAAAGCCAAAAAAUCAUCAGCUGAACAUUCACUUUUAUACGCUCGACUCUUUCACUCAACUAUAGCUAUGUUUUGCAGCUGUAUGUGUGGCUGUAGCUGUAUCUGUAUCUGUAUCUGUAUGCAUAACUCGCAAACGAUUGCUUACAAGUGCAGAGCUCCCCCAUGGCCCCUCUUUAUGCCCCUGGGGCGCCAUUGCGACUUAUUGGCUGCAUUAUGAUUGCAACGGAUCGACGGCACCGGAGAAGCCAGACACAGAUUUACGUAUAUAUACAGUAUAUAUAUAUAUACAAGGCACUCGAUCCCUGCAGCAGCCAGACAUUUGUUGACUUAUUUAUGACUGCUUAAUGCCUUUUUGGUUGUCUGUGAAAAACUAUUUUAUGGCACAGAUUUGAUUGGCUUUGUUGCUGACUCAUUGAAAAUUUGAGAGAGCGAAAGGAGCGGGAGUAUGAACUAUAUAUCCUAAUCAAGAUCUAGAGCAAAUAAGCUGCUCUAAGAGUCUCAAAGACCAUGAAAUAUUCAACAAAUUAGUAAAGUGUGAAAUAUUUAUGAAACCAUUUGGCCAACUGUGAAAAAGAGCGCAGAAAACCGAGCUAAAAUUGUUUCUAAAUUUAGUUUGUAAAAAAAUUAAAUGAAAAUUGAAUAAACUCUUGUAAA